UACGUAGGGGGCAAGCGUUAUCCGGAUUUACUGGGUGUAAAGGGAGCGUAGACGGCAGGGCAAGUCUGGAGUGAAAGGCAGGGGCCCAACCCCUGGACUGCUCUGGAAACUGUCCGGCUGGAGUGCAGGAGAGGUAAGUGGAAUUCCUAGUGUAGCGGUGAAAUGCGUAGAUAUUAGGAGGAACACCAGUGGCGAAGGCGGCUUACUGGACGGCAACUGACACUGAGGCUCGAAAGCGUGGGGAGCAAACAGG
rnacentral:rRNA from 1 species